rnacentral:lncRNA from 1 species
GGCAUUGCUUUUGGAGCAGCCCUAGUAGCAUAUGGUAUUUUACUACAAGGGCUUGUCUGGGAAAUGGAUGUAGUUCUGGGAAUCUGGUUUUCCAUGAUUCAAGUGUAGUAAAUGGAUGUUACUUAAGACUUAAUUGGAAGUCAUGGUAAUGAUGGAGGUAUUUCAAGUUAUGUUUCAGGUCUGCAUUUAAGCAACUUCUGAGUUUUGUGGGCAAAGCAACUGCUAGUAAAGGCUUUGGUGCGUAUUGACACUUGAAGCAUUAAGAACCAGAUCAUUUUUAGGUGCUCUGCUUUUAAUUUCCUGUUCAACUCCAGCUGUCCAAUUCUAUUGUUCAGGAUUGUGAAAUUCUAGCUUGAACUAUUGGUUAGAGCCUCCAUGCAAUCUUGUCUUCAAGAAGCUGGCUGUUACCUUUUGAGAUUCAGAAAUGAUUGGAAUUUACUUGGGUUUAUAGCACAGGGAUAUGUGAGAAUGUUUUGUUAAUUCAUGUUUCUACCAUGUUUUUAUUGUUUCAAGCAUGAAUUUGAGGCUUAUGUUCUCUUUUCCACUGCAGUGGAACUUGUGAAGUAGUUAUUUUUGUUAUGUUCUAUGUCAGAGGGGUACCUUUCUUAUUGAAAGUUUUGGAUUGUUUGGGUUUUGUAUUUAGCUCCAGAUUGUUAAGUGUUAAAAUAAAAACAAAAGUAAAGUGGGUAAAAAGAGGGAGGAUUUUAAAAGCAUCUUUCAUUUGUCAAGAAUGUAAGUUGCAAUCUUUGAUCGGUAAGUUUGAGCGGGGUUUCAUCUAUUUUCACUCCGCCCUUCCUGCAACACCUGCAAAUCAGAUCUUGCCUAGAUAUUUAAAACUUAACAUAUGACCUCCUUUAAAAUUGCAAGCGUACUUGCCUUUUCUUAAGAAAAGGCGGACAUAGUGAGUUACAGUCUAGUUUAUUCAUGCUUAUAGCAAAAAAUGAUCGGCUUCACUUCUUAAUUUAGCAUCUAACUCCAGGAAAGAGUUUUAUUUCCAAAUGAGCCAGAAUGGAUAAAAAGCAUAGUGUUUCUGUGAGUUGGCUGAGCACUGCCUGUUGCCAUUCAGCUUGCUGCUAUCUCUGUUUUAAUGGAACGGAUAAUUCUUUUCAGACUACUACGUAAAGAAAAAAUAGCAUAUUUUUUCCCCACAAGGUGUUGGCAGUGGUUUCACAGUGGGAGGUAUUAGGCUGAAAAAAACCUUUUUGAAAUUCUUUCCCCUUUAAUUCAACUGGAGGGAGGCAGUAUGUAAUUCUUCUAAGGAUCUGCUAUUUCAGAAAGCACUGCCAGCGAGAGGGGCUGUGUAUCACGUACCUGGCAACCUGCUUUUGUUACCUCCUUUGAAACAUACGGUUGCCCCACUUUCUGCAGUGUGGCAGCAGACCUAUUCAUACUAGUUUUAAGGGUUUGUGACUUUAAUAUUUCUCUGGUCUCUGAGGCUUGCAGCCAUUAUUUCUUACAGACCUCCUGCCUUACAAACACAAGGGCUGCCUUUUUUCCUUGCCGAUAAUACAGUACAUAUUUGCAUCAGGAACGAAGCACUGAUGUUCAGGAAGUGAAGGAUAACAUUCAGCAGGUACAGAUGUAAAAAUGAAGAAUACUGCUUAGCUCAUUAUGUCUAUUCUUUUGUGAAAUGAAGGUACGCAUUAUGGGGAGACGCAAAUGACCCUAAAAAUAAAUUUCUCUCGCAUUUGUAAAUGGCA